rnacentral:rRNA from 1 species
UACGGAGGGUGCAAACGUUGCUCGGAAUCAUUGGGCGUAAAGCGCACGUAGGCGGUCCAGCAAGUCGGGUGUGAAAGCCCUCGGCUUAACCGAGGAAGUGCAUUCGAAACUACUGGACUUGAGUACUGAAGAGGAUCGCGGAAUUCCCGGUGUAGAGGUGAAAUUCGUAGAUAUCGGGAGGAACACCAAUGGCGAAGGCAGCUCGCUGGGACGUGACUGACGCUGAGACGCGAAAGCGUGGGGAGCAAACAGG